CAAGGACUGAUAGGGUUGUGCUUCUUUUCACUGCCUAUCCUAUUGGCCAACAGAAGUACCAUAUUGCUGUAAUUGUUUUGUUUUGUUGAGCAUUUCAGGAAGGCAGAUAAUGGAGUUUCAGCAGUUAACUGUAUCUAUCCCAGAAUUCUCUGAGGCAGACCCCUGGGUUUUGAUUCCAUGUGAAGGAAAGAGAGACAUCGAUGAGAAGAUACAGAUUCAGUGUUUAUCCCAAGCUUUGCCCACACUUAGCCCCAUCAUGAAAGCAUGGCUGGAUAAGCGGUGCAUGGGUCUGAUCCAAACCAGAGAACCCCAGGCCGCUGAAGUGGAACACCCAAACUUAACCACUACACCACCAGGCCGGCCCGGAGAAGAUGUUUUUUAACCUAACCCAUGGAUAAAGAAAGUCCAAAUAAGGGCAGCUUUGUCAGAUCUCAAAGUUGGAGAAUUGUGCUGAGAGGGAGUUGGCCUGGAUCCUUUGCCUUCAUGUAGUUCUUGGCAAAUGACAUGUGGCAAGUGGCAACCGAGAAAGAAUGCUCUCUGCAGCUGAUUCAGGAGAAUCUUCCUGAGACUUUGGACUACUCCAUCUUAGCCUUGUGCCAGGUUAACACCACUGCUGCUUUCUGCAAAAGGAGCCAAGCAAUAAAAGGGCAGCUUUGUCAGAUCUCAAAGUUGGAGAAUCGCCCUGAGAGGGAGUUGCCCUGGAUCCUUUGGCUUCAUGUAUAUGUGACAAACUACCCAGCUGAUGUUUUCACCUGAGAGAAAAAGGUAACUAAAAUAUCAC
rnacentral:lncRNA from 1 species